rnacentral:rRNA from 1 species
GUCUAUGGCCAUAUCACCCUGAACGCGCAUGAUCUCGUCUGAUCUGGGUAGCUAAGCAGGGUCGGGCCUGGUUAGUACUUGGAUGGGAGAAAGGAAUUAGUAAGCCAAAAUCC